CUACGGGAGGCAGCAGUGGGGAAUUUUGCACAAUGGGCGAAAGCCUGAUGCAGCGACGCCGCGUGAAGGAUGAAGGUCUUCGGAUUGUAAACUUCUUUUGUCGGGGACGAUAAUGACGGUACCCGAUGAAUAAGCCACGGCUAACUCUGUGCCAGCAGCCGCGGUAAGACAGAGGUGGCAAGCGUUGUUCGGAAUUACUGGGCUUAAAGGGCGCGUAGGCGUCCCGGUAAGUCAGAUGUGGAAGCUUCCCGCUUAACGGGGAAAUUGCAUCUGAUACUGUCGGGAUUGAGUCAGCAAGGGGAUGGCGGAAUUCCAGGUGUAGCGGUGAAAUGCGUAGAUAUCUGGAGGAAGGCCGGUGGCGAAGGCGGCCAUCUGGUGCUGAACCGACGCUGAGGCGCGAAAGCGUGGGGAGCAAACAGGAUUAGAUACCCGAGU
rnacentral:rRNA from 1 species